UCAGAGUUGCUUGAAAAUGUUGAUCAGCGAAAAAUUUAGCAAUAGAACAAAACACGUAGCAACAAGAUUACAUUUUAUACGAGAUCCAAUUCAGCAAACCGAGAUAAGCUGCAUCUAUUGUCCAACUGAACUUACACUCAGAAAUAAUAUAAAUCGUGAAAUGUUUAAAAUCCACUCGUUUUUGAUAUUAUGUAAAGGUAUACUUGGUCAUGUUUACGAAGUAUACAAUUUCAUAUUAGUAUUCUAAACUAAGCCCGAUUAAUGCGAGGUAAUUUUGUUCGGUGUAUUCAUUGAAGACGUCAAAACUUCAGUUUUGUUGCUAAUGAUCGUCGGCUAGUUUUUCUCGUUUUUCUUCUGUGUUCUCAGAAAACUCAUUCACGGCUGCAGUUCAAUACGGAGAUAGAAAAUAGAGGAGCAAUUGAACCAAACGGUUAUCAACGCCAAGCUUGGAUCAGGGGAGCGCAUUCGUUUCCGGUGGACAGCAAGCAAGACGGAUAUUUCCUGCAUUAGAGUGCCAACUUCAAAUCUUAUUUACGGACGAGGUCCAGAAAAAACGAAUUCCAUGAAGAAAACACCCGCGAAUUUGGUUUGACUCUUCCUCUCUGUGUUGCGGAUACAUUCAUCCCGGGAAGCCGUGCCGUGCAAUGUUUAACGUCGGAAGUGUUCGUGGCAACAAAGUUGUACGUCUACGGAGCAGCUCCCCCUCCACUGCCGAUCAUAGUAAAAGCUCGUUGCACCCAUCAGAUAGUUCUAGAAAUAAGCUUAUUCUCUGUGAUUCCUAAUGUAUCACCUUAAUUACUUAUGUGUCAACAUAUUUUUAUAUAUAAAGUAUAUAAAUAAAGAAAUGUUAAGUCAAUUUCAUGUUGCUUCCAAAUAAUAUGAUUAUCAGCCAGAUAUUUUAACCUCACUUUUUUUGUUUAUGUUCUAGACUUAUACUGAGCCUCAUGUAUAUUCAACUUAUAUUGUCUGUUUCAUUCACAACAAAACGCGCCGCCAACUUUCGAACAGACUGAAAAAAAUCAUCGCCAGCAAACCAAUCAAAGGAGGUGCUUUGCUUUUGUGUUGGCAAGACUGGG